GACGAACGCUGGCGGCGUGCCUAAUACAUGCAAGUAGAACGCUGAAGAGAGGAGCUUGCUCUUCUUGGAUGAGUUGCGAACGGGUGAGUAACGCGUAGGUAACCUGCCUUGUAGCGGGGGAUAACUAUUGGAAACGAUAGCUAAUACCGCAUAACAAUAGGUGACACAUGUCAUUUAUUUGAAGGGGCAAUUGCUCCACUACAAGAUGGACCUGCGUUGUAUUAGCUAGUAGGUGAGGUAACGGCUCACCUAGGCGACGAUACAUAGCCGACCUGAGAGGGUGAUCGGCCACACUGGGACUGAGACACGGCCCAGACUCCUACGGGAGGCAGCAGUAGGGAAUCUUCGGCAAUGGGGGGCAACCCUGACCGAGCAAGCCGCGUGAGUGAAGAGGUUUCGGAUCGUAAAGCUACUGUUGUAAGUCAAGACGAGUGUGAGAGUGGAAAGUUCACACUGUGA
rnacentral:rRNA from 1 species